rnacentral:lncRNA from 1 species
UUGCAAAUCCAGAGUGGUGGGAUCUAUUUUCAAGUUAUGUAGUAUGCCAUUUACAACAUAGCUUCUCAUAUUACUGCCCAAUAGUAGUAAAUACAAAUGGAGAUGGAGGUAGGCUUAUUGAGGGGGGACAAUGGCAAUUCAGAUUUAAUGCUGAUUGGAUUCUGAAUCCAAGCUUCGAGGAGUGAAUGAAAAAUGAAUAAUCUUCAAACAAUCAGGAUGUUUUGGUGAAAUUGAAAGAUCUGGGAAUGACUUUGAAUUGCUGGGCAAAAAAGGAGAAAAAAUUAAGGGAACAGCAAACAGCAAAGCUUAAUGCCAGAUUGUUUGAAUUGGGAGCUAGCGAAAUCAGUGAAGCGACCUUAGAGAAAAUUAUAGAGAUCAAACUUGGGUUGAACCUUGAAGCUAACAAGGAAGAGAUUUUCUAGGAACAAAGAGCGAGAACUAAUUGGCUUCAGAUGGGGGACAAAAAUAUGGCAUUCUUUCAUAGAAGCGCAUCAUACCGUAAGAAGAAAAAUAUGAUUAAGAGAUUAGAGGAUGGUUCGGAAACUUGGUUACCAAUUUUGAGGAGAUGUCUAAUAUGGCUGCUGAUUAUUUUAAAGGUCUGUUUUCAUCCACUGAGCUUAGUGAUUACGACAGAUUGAUGGAAUCUUUUUCACUAUAUAUAACGGAGGAGCUCAACAGAGAUUUAAUAGCAGAAUUUAAAGCAGAAGAGAUUGCAAUGGCAAUAAAAACUAUAGCCCCCUUUAAGGUGUCAGGUAAGGACGACUUUCCUGUAAUUUUUUACCAAAAAUACUGGCAUAUUGUUGGGGAAGACGUCAUCAAGUACUGUUUGGAUGUUUUAAACUGCAUAAGAAAUAUGGAGGAAAUUAACAAAACAAGCAUAAGCCUUAUCCCCAAGGUAAAUUCACCAAAGAUAAUGAGCCAAUUUAGACCUAUAAGUCUUUGCAAUGUGAUUUACAAAAUUAUUUCAAAAGUACUUGUCAACCAGUUUCACUGGGACUUAAUUAUUGCAUUGAAGAUAAUCAAGGGGCGUUUAUCUCAGAAAGGCAAAUCACGGAUAAUAUUUUGUGGCAUAUGAAAUCCUUCACUCAUUCAAAAAGAGACGAGGGUCAUCAAAGAAAGGAUUUGUGUUAAAGCUUGAUAUAAGCAAAGCACACGACAGAUUAGAAUGGAGUUUUUUAGAAAAAAAUGAUGUGCAAGCUAGGAUAUUGUGAAGAUUGGAUCUUCCUUAUUAUGAGAUGCAUUACUAGUGUGGCGUAUUUAGUUAUGUUGAAUGGAAGACAUGGGGAAGAAUUUCCACCUCAAAGAGGUUUAAGACAAUGAGAUCCACUUAGUCCAUAUUUAUUUCUUAUUUGUGCUGAAGGUUUCUCACGUUUAAUUGCACUUGCUAGAAAGGAAGGGAAGAUUGUCAGGACUAGGGUGGGAAGAGGUAAUGUUUCGGUGUCACACCUAUUUUUUUGCAGAUGAUAAUGUGUUAUUUGGGGAAGCAACAAUCGAAGGAGCAAAUAAUAUGAAGAAUGUGAUCAAAGAAUAUGAAAAGAUAUCUGGACAAUUAGUUAAAAUUGACAAGUCUUUAAUCUACUUCAGUGGAAAUGUCAACUCAGAAACACAGGAAUAGGUGGGUGGAAUCUUGGAAGUAAGGAUUUCAAAUAAUCCUGAAAAAUAUCUAGGGUUGCUGACUAUGGUACGAUGACGGAAAAAAUGCUUUCGUGGAUAUUAAAGUACCAUUUUGUUAAACUGUUGAACAAUUGGAGUUUGCGAUUCUUGUCGGCUAGGGGCAAAGAGCUAUUUAUAAAAUCCAUUUUACAAGAGAUACCAAUUUAUACUAUGCAAUGUUUUAAAUUACUGAUUUCGCUUUGUCGAGAACUAAAAAAUUUAAUGUGCAAAUUCUUGUGGCGUAAUUCCAAAACAAAUAAAGGCAUACACUGGUGCAAAUGGAGUGAUAUGUGUAUCCCCAAAGCGAAGGGAAGGUUAGGUUUUAAAGACUUCGAAAAUUUUAAUUUGGCCUUAUUAGUGAAGUAGGGGUGAAAAAUUAUUACGCAGCCUCAUUGUUUAUUUGCGCAUGUCAUGAAAGCAAAAUAUUUUCCAAAAGGGGAAUUUAUGAGUACUAGGUUAGUCUCUUACCUUUCGUUUACCUGGCGUAGCAUUUGGGGUGCUAAACAACUUCUUGAGAAGGGAAUUGGUUGGCGAGUUGGGAACAAUGAUGCAAUUAAUAUAUGGAACGAUGUGUGGUUACCGAGGCCUAGAAGUGGAAGAAUACAAUGUCAGAACAUAGAUAUUAGAUAUACUAUUGUUUCUGGCUUAAUUGAUAGGAAACUUCUACCUAGAAGCAAAACACUAUCCGAUCAUUAUUUGGAGAGGCGCAGCUGAAAAGUAUUCUUUCAAUCCCAUUGGUGAGUAGCAGACCGCACGAUAAACUAAUAUGGAGAGGUGACAAUACAGGGAUUUACAUAGUGAAAAGUGGCUACAAAUGGGCUAAUACACCGGGGAAUCCUAGGUUACAUAAUGAAAUUAAUUCUACUUUCUUUACAAAGCUAAGGGGUCUCAAGAUACCGAGCAAAAUCCGUAUACUCAUGUGGAGAACAGCAAAUGAGUUCAUGCCCACUUUGCACAACCUAAGAACCCGUAAACUGGUUGCAAAUACACUUUGUCCGGUGUGUCAAGCCGACAAGGAAACUGUGAGCCAUCAUUUUAGAGAUUGCACUAUCACACAGCAGAUAUUGCAAGGGAUGGGAGCGGCAAAUACAAUAUGCAAUAGAGAAACCAGAUGGAAAAAUUGGUUAGAAAAUGAGCUCAAUAGACAGAAUACAGAAAUAUGCAAAAUUAGAUCUAUCGUAUACUAGGCUAUCUGGUACAAUUGCAAUGAGAUUUAUCAUGAAGGAACAAGAGAACAAGUAAGUGAAAUAGUGGGGUUUAUCAACGCUUAUCAUGUAGAAAUAGCUUUUAUGGGAGAGUUUUCAAAAAAUGCGAAUGGCGUCAAUGAAUCUGUUUGGAAACCAUCGGAUGACGACAUUAUAAAAAUCAACUUUGAUGCAUCUUUUAAUCAACACACGAAGUGUUCAAUAUUGGGAAUUUUAGCGAGGAAUAAAAAAGGGUUAGUGAUGGCUGCCUGUACCUUCUCAUGGGAGAAUAUUCCAGAUCUUGUUACGGCUGAAGCAAGGGCGUGUCUACAAGCACUCACUAUGGCGGAGGAAAUGGGUUUCCAAGACAUUUGUGUGGAAUGAGAUGCAUUGUCCAUAAUACAAAAACUAAACUCCUCUGAGGAAGAUAAAUCAAACAAGUAGUCUAAUUAAAGAAAUAAAGGGGAGAACCCCCAAAUUUAGAAGGUUGAGCUUUAAGCACGUACCUAAGGAAGCCAACAAAGCGAGUCACAAGAUGGCGAUAGAAGGAAGAAAAUAUGAAGAUCCCCAAUACUAGAUAGAAGAGGUUCUGUACGCGGUGGAAGGACUGGUAAUUCAUGAUAGAAGAAGCUACAACGACGGUGGUUAAAUGGAAAAAUAGAGUCCGGACUUUGUGACUUUGAGUCUGUCCGAUGAACUCGUUACCUUAUUAGAGACUGAGGUUUAGAAAAGUAUGAUUUUUUUGGAGAAGAUUCAGUCUCUCAAAUGGCUGAUUUUUUUGGAGAAGAUUCAGUCUCUCAAAUGGCUGAUACAUGAUAAUCUUUUCGAAUGACAGAGAAGAAGGAAAGGUUUCAGGCCAGAAAUUCUUAUUUUUAGUCGAUUCAUUUCUUCAUUCGUUUUAUUAGGUUAUGUUGUUUUUUAGUUUCUUUAUGUGAGUUUCUUUAAUGCACCGUUUUGGUGCCCAAUAAUUA